UUGCAAAUAUCGGAGACAGGCGCCAGCCGGAGUAUCAGAAAGGCCCGGAGGCUUAAUAGGGAAAUUCGGUGACAAGCCGAUGCGGUCCCGCCACUGUAACGGAAGAGUUCAUAGCAGCCCAUGUCACUGGCCAUCUCUACUUCGCCGGGAAGACUUGCUGAUGGAUGCCGACGCCGCUAGCCAGGAGACCUGCCUGUCUCAACAGCACUGC
rnacentral:ncRNA from 2 species